GCAGUUUACUGCUCUCGCUAUUAGAUGAGCCUAAGUCGGAUUAGCUAGAUGGUGGGGUAAAGGCCUACCAUGGCGACGAUCUGUAGCUGGUCUGAGAGGAUGAUCAGCCACACCGGGACUGAGACACGGCCCGGACUCCUACGGGAGGCAGCAGUGGGGAAUAUUGGACAAUGGGGGGAACCCUGAUCCAGCCAUGCCGCGUGUGUGAAGAAGGCCUUUUGGUUGUAAAGCACUUUAAGCAGUGAAGAAGACCUAACGGUUAAUACCCGUUAGCGAUGACAUUAGCUGCAGAAUAAGCACCGGCUAACUCUGUGCCAGCAGCCGCGGUAAUACAGAGGGUGCAAGCGUUAAUCGGAAUUACUGGGCGUAAAGCGAGCGUAGGUGGCUUGAUAAGUCAGAUGUGAAAUCCCCGGGCUUAACCUGGGAACUGCAUCUGAUACUGUUAAGCUAGAGUAGGUGAGAGGGAAGUAGAAUUCCAGGUGUAGCGGUGAAAUGCGUAGAGAUCUGGAGGAAUACCGAUGGCGAAGGCAGCUUCCUGGCAUCAUACUGACACUGNGGCCCGNUUGNGGGGGUAAGCACUUCCUUGAUUAAAGAUACCCUGGUAGUCCACGCCGUAAACGAUGUCUACUAGUCGUUGGGUCCCUUGAGGACUUAGUGACGCAGCUAACGCAAUAAGUAGACCGCCUGGGGAGUACGGUCGCAAGGUUAAAACUCAAAUGAAUUGACGGGGGCCCGCACAAGCGGUGGAGCAUGUGGUUUAAUUCGAUGCAACGCGAAGAACCUUACCUGGUCUUGACAUAUCUAGAAUCCUGCAGAGAUGCGGGAGUGCCUUCGGGAACUCUNGNAUACAGGUGCUGCAUGGCUGUCGUCAGCUCGUGUUGUGAGAUGUUGGGUUAAGUCCCGCAACGAGCGCAACCCUUGUCCUUAGUUACCAGCGGGUUAAGCCGGGAACUCUAAGGAUACUGCCAGUGACAAACUGGAGGAAGGCGGGGACGACGUCAAGUCAUCAUGGCCCUUACGACCAGGGCUACACACGUGCUACAAUGGUAGGUACAGAGGGCAGCUACACAGCGAUGUGAUGCGAAUCUCAAAAAGCCUAUCGUAGUCCAGAUUGGAGUCUGCAACUCGACUCCAUGAAGUAGGAAUCGCUAGUAAUCGCGGAUCAGAAUGCCGCGGUG
rnacentral:rRNA from 1 species